GGGGAUAUAGCUCAGUGGUAGAGCAAUCGACUGCAGAUCGAUAGGCCCCCGGUUCAAAUCCGGGUGUCCCCU
rfam:Operophtera brumata OBRT01_Sc16320, whole genome shotgun sequence.